AGCGAACGCUGGCGGCAGGCCUAACACAUGCAAGUCGAACGAACUCUUCGGAGUUAGUGGCGGACGGGUGAGUAACACGUGGGAACGUGCCUUUUGGUUCGGAAUAACUCACGGAAACUUGUGCUAAUACCGAAUGUGCCCUUCGGGGGAAAGAUUUAUCGCCAUUAGAGCGGCCCGCGUCUGAUUAGCUAGUUGGUGAGGUAACGGCACACCAAGGCGCCGAUCAGUAGCUGGUCGGAGAGGAUGACCAGCCACACUGGGACUGAGACACGGCCCAGACUCGUACGGGAGGCAGCAGUGGGGAAUCGUGCGCAAUGGGCGAAAGCCUGACGCAGCCAUGCGGCGUGAAUGAUGAAGGUCGUAGGAUUGUAAAAUUCUUUCAGCGGGGACGAUAAUGACGGUACCCGGAGAAGAAGCCCCGGCUAACUUCGUG
rnacentral:rRNA from 1 species